GCAUGUGGCUCAGUUGGUAGUGUGCUUGCCUCGCAUGCCCAAGGCCUUGGGUUCGAUCCCCAGCACUGCA
rnacentral:tRNA from 1 species